UUCAGAUCUGUUGUUCAUCUUUCUUUCACCGUUUGCUCUUCUGAGUUUCUCAUUUUGUUACCUCUUCUUCCCCCUUACCCUAGCAGCGCCGCUGCUCACAUGGGAGAGAAUUGAACUCGAUAGAGGUUGCUGGGCGUGGCGAUAGGAACACGGAGGCUGGGAAGCUCUGAUCUUCAAUCCGAGACACAUUGUGUACCAAAGAAAACAUGAAGCCAUGAAGGAACUCAGAGAGUUGACAGCAGAGCAUCCAUGGUGAAAGUGACUGUUCGGCUGUUCCCAAUGUUUAAUUUAUUUUGUUAGAUUUUAUGGAAAGACUGAGGCACAAGCAGUGGUGCUUACAUUGACUUGACUUAUGGCCUUCAAAGAGGCGCAAGAUCUUAUGGAUUUUAAUGGGACAAAUAUGGAUUGCAGAGUUUGGGGAUUAGAAGAGCAUUUCGACGUAGAAAUGGUCCUCCUGAAUCAAUUGACGCAUCUACCUCCUCUUCACUAGGUAAUCUCUCUCAGCCAGGCCUUUUGUUCAUUGCUUCUCAUAAUAUUUCUCAUUUCGGUGGGUCACUAAUCUGUUUUUUCGUCAUUUUUGUUUUUUAUUUACUUUUGGUUUUCAUGGUAGAAAAUUGUGGAGUUCCAUUGCUCGCAUGCUGCACACUUUGAAAUGGAGUUUGGGUGCUCAAAAUGUGAGAGGGAUAAACUUUGCUUCCCAUAGUACCAUUAAGAAAGCGUGAUUCUUUUGCAAGCAAUUUCUUAGUAGAAUAAUUAUGACUUAUGAGUCAUUCCUUCAUUUGUUUCUUCUUUUCUACGGCCAGAGAAAUAAUCAAGGUAUUUCUUGGAAAAGAACAGCAAAUUGAAUUUCAUCUUACUCUGCUGCUAUUCUUCAUUAGACUCACCCCAUAAACUGAACAACAACCCACAUACAAACCAUGCAAAACUUAUAGAAAGUGUAGUGUAUGCAAUAUGCUUAUUGAACCUGAUAACUUUCUAAAGCAUGACUGACGACUUACCUUUGAAAGGUUUUUCUUUUAUUUUCUUCCAAUUUGUUUUUCUCACUUCUUUCUUCUCCAUGUUUGUGAUCAAAGGAGAGGGUAAUUUGAGAUUUUGUGCAUGCAUGGAAGUGUAAGAUUCGUUUAAUUGUUUGUUUUUAUUAAGGAAUUAAAGGUCAUUGAAAGAGUGAAGAGGAAGAGCCGUAUACAGGUUGUGCUUUUCUCAAGUAUUUUCCCUUAAUUUACUUUGGAUCUGUUUAUCUCUUUGAGUUAAAUUUCUUUAGUGGUCUAUCAAAUCGUUUAGAUCUUUUUGUUUGGUGUUCUCUGUUCUUUAUUUUCCAACUUUCUUUCUUGGACAUGUAUAUUUGAUCUGCAAAUAAUGUAUGGAAAUCUCUUACACAGCAGAGUUAAUGUUGAGGAAUCAGGAGCAGGAACAAUUGACAACAAAGCAAGCUCGCAUUGCAUCACUGAUGCCUGAAAAGCAGGACUUGGGAGAGAAUCGUUGCAUCUUGGAUGAUGCUUACAAUUUGUUCCAUUAUUAAUUGCACACAACUUUGAAUGGUGUCGAUACUCACGGCAAUUAUGCAGCUGAAUUAAUAGAGCCAUUAGUAUAUCAUGGAAAUUGAAAUUGAAACUGUUGUUAGAACAAUAAUAAUGCAGUUUGGGAUUUGAGGUUGCUAGAGAUUAUUGGACUGUUAAACAUUUUGGGUGAAAUGUUCCCACUAUCUCUUUUCCCCGCUAUUGAAUCAAAUUGAAUCCAAUAAUUAUUAUUAUUU